rnacentral:rRNA from 1 species
UACGUAGGGUGCAAGCGUUAAUCGGAAUUACUGGGCGUAAAGCGUGCGCAGGCGGUUUUGUAAGUCUGACGUGAAAUCCCCGGGCUCAACCUGGGAAUUGCGUUGGAGACUGCAAGGCUAGAAUCUGGCAGAGGGGGGUAGAAUUCCACGUGUAGCAGUGAAAUGCGUAGAGAUGUGGAGGAACACCGAUGGCGAAGGCAGCCCCCUGGGUCAAGAUUGACGCUCAUGCACGAAAGCGUGGGGGGCAAACAGG